GGGGUUGUGGCUCAGCGGUAGAGCACUCGCCUACCACGUGCGAGCGAGGCUCUGGGUUCGAUCCUCAGCACCA
rnacentral:tRNA from 1 species